rnacentral:rRNA from 1 species
UACGUAGGUGGCAAGCGUUGUCCGGAUUUACUGGGUGUAAAGGGUGUGUAGCCGGGCUGACAAGUCAGAUGUGAAAUCCGGGGGCUCAACCCCCGAACUGCAUUUGAAACUGUUGGUCUUGAGUAUCGGAGAGGCAGGCGGAAUUCCUAGUGUAGCGGUGAAAUGCGUAGAUAUUAGGAGGAACACCAGUGGCGAAGGCGGCCUGCUGGACGACAACUGACGGUGAGGCGCGAAAGCGUGGGGAGCAAACAGG